rnacentral:tRNA from 1 species
GGGGUUGUAACUUAGUGGUAGAGUGCUUGCCUAGCAUGUGUGUGGCACUGGGUUCGAUUCUCAGCACCA